AUGCUCCUUCUGCCAUAAAGCCUUUGCUCAUGCUUUUCUUUCUGUCUGUGAUAUUUAUCCUUUCCUUCUCUUCUUCCUUUAGACUUUUGCAUGCUGUCUCUUGGGCCCUUGGCUAGAUCAGACCAGACUACCAUCUACCCCUUUAAAUUCCAUCCAGCUGUCUUUAAUGGUGCUUAUCAUCAUUAGUGAACAUGCCAUUCAGUGUGUCAUUAUUUAAUCUUUGUGUCACUCCUCCAUUAACCUUCUAACCCUCAGAUCCAGCACAUAGUAGGAAGACAAUAAACAACAAAUACAGAUGAAUGUCUUCAAAUUCUGAAUCAAUUACAGGAGGCUCCUGAAAUACCAGGUUCCUCUGUGCUUUGUGCAUUUUAAUUUUCAGUAUUAAUCACAAUUAAAUGUACAGAAGACUAGGUCAGGAAAUAACUUAUUUGUAAAAUAAGGCAACGUUAGUAAGAUGGCAGCCCUUCCCUCCCUGGUGGUCCUCUAGUCACAUAUAUGUGUUUUCCAGCACAUGCUUUCUUGUUGGGCUGCUUCGUUUCCAUCCAGUGGCGUCGGACACCACGACAGAGGGAAAGGUAGAAGUGCUAGGGUCAGCCUGGGGUUUGUGUUCCAGCUCGAAUACUCUGUAGCUGAGCAACAUUAGUCACAUUGCACAUUAUUUCUCAGUUUCCUCAUCUGUUAAGUGCUUCACUCAUAGGACUGUGGUAACACUCUAAAUGAGUUAUGAGUCUGAAGCACCCACCCGGCACAGAGUCUGAUUUGUUGUCUGAGAAUUAUUUUCCUUCCCCUAGUGUACACUAUAUACCUGCUAAAACAACAGUGCAUUUCUUAAAUCAAGUUAUAUGAUUAAAAUAGCUGACACUAUGUCAUGUACAUUGUUCUAAGAUUUCCCCCAUAUUAACCCAUUGAAAACUCACAAGAGCCCUGUGAAGCAAAUACUGGUAAUUUCAGCCUCAUUUCAUGCAUGAGGAACUGAGAUUCAGAAUGAUUAAGUAACUAGCCCACAGUCAGGCCAAAAUUUAAUCCCAGCUAGUCUGGUAUGUUCUUAUACUGCAACAUGAUCCUGUGUCUCAGCUGGAGAAUUAGCAAGGAACGAUGGGCAAUGAAGAGCUGGUUUUGAAAAGAAAAAUCUCUCCCAAUUCUACUAUUAUCUGGGUGACCUUGGCCAAUUCAAUUCUCUCUUCUUUAAAAUGGGGAUACUAUCCCCUGUCUCCCGUGUGGAAGCUGAAUGAGAUGGCAAAUGUAAAACCCUUGUACACAUUUGUCAUUUGCCUGUGGCUAAGACAAUUUCUCUUUCUUCUUAUAGAAGUAUAACCUUUAAGUUUUCUCACCAACAACCUGGCCAGGGUAACUUUGGCCUUUGGCCAGCUCUAGAGCUUCUCGAACAAAAAUUGUUGACAUUGAGCCCACACAAAGCUGGAAACUCCCAGAGGGAUAACUGUGCAGGCUCUGACCCAGCAAGAUUUCCCCUGAAUUCUACAGAGUUUCAACACAUCUGAAACUCUUAGAGAGUAAAGCCCAAAGCUCCGGAAACAGAGAGCCUGGAAAGGAGAAGAAGGAGCUCUACUCUUUUGAAAGAAGGGGAAUCUUGGUGAUUAAAUUUCACAAAUGUGGCUCCAGCCAUACCGCCCCUGACCUUAAGAACUGUCAUGAAUGUCUCUCUAGGAAACACUCCUCACACACACACCACCCCAGCAUCAUCCAGAGUGACGAUUGUUAAAAGAAAAAAAAUUAUCUGACAUUGACGUUUGCAUUGUCAGAGGCUCCCUGCUCUAUAAAGGAGAAGUGUCUGCCCAAGGUGGCCUUACGGUAGAUGUAGAGCCCUGGGGAGGGGCUUUGAGUCUGCAGCAUGCUUCAACCCUCAUCCACGAAAGGGAGAAAAUCAUGGCUACCUCCUAUGGUUAUUGUGAAGAGGAAAUGCAAUAAUAAACGUUCAGAGGCUAGGACAAGGCCUAGCCCUUGGGAAGCACCCAAUGAAUGGCAGUUAUCAUUGUGGUUGUGUUGUAACAGCAGCUAGGCCACUUGCCCAAGAUCACCCAGCAAAAUAAGUAAAGAAAUGAGAACUGUAACAAACAUCUCAUGGACUGGCAGUCCCAGCUCUUUCUGCCAUAUGAAGCAGCCUCUCCCCUGUGUGUCUAACCGUCAGCUUCUUACUUUGUGUGGUGAAAGGGCUAAACCAUAUUAGAGAGUGUUGUGGGAUAAGCAGUGUAAAAAUGCCUCCCGCAACUCUCCACUUCACUCCAUCCUAUGAGAUCCUACACCAUUAAAAUUACUCCCAGCCCCUUAUCCCUCUGGGUUCUCUGGACCCCUGAAAGUCUCCCUGAAGCCUCAGGAACUCCCUGUGGGAUAAAGGCACAUGUAGAUUUUUAAAAAUGGUGUUUUACUCCAAAUUCUUAUGUUUUGCUAGGUAGUGGGUUCCAGGUGUGACAUCUCACUGUCAAAGGGAUAUCUGUGACCCACAAUAGUCCCGAGCCCAGGGAUGGUGGAUCUGGCUGUGUCCUGGCCUGGGUCAGCUUUGCCAGUAAAACAAAGGCCAUGUUCCCGGUCCGCGUGAGGCCUGAGGGGAUGGGACCCUUGUUCCCGUGGCAGCAGGUGUACAGGGGCAGGUGGCACUAACAGGUUGUGGAGAUUUGAGCUGGGGAAGGCAGUCUGGUUGGUGGACAGGCAGGAGUUUGGGGGUAGACAGAAUUACUUGUUUGCCUUAAAUUAGCUUGGGAUAUUACAUAGGUGAUUUUGCUUCUCUGAAUUUCAACUUCUCUGCCCGUGAGAGAUCUUAAUGCCCUUCUUGUGGGGCCCAUGGGAGAAUUCAGAGGGUAGUUCAUGUAAAGUGACCCAAUAUGUGGCUGUUCACAUACCCGUUCCUCUUCUCUUGGAAUACAAAUACAAAUAAUGGAUCUGGGUCCCCGGAAGAUGAAAGAAGAAGAUUAAAAAGUUAACAACAAUCCUUCAGAAUUAUUAAUGUUCUAUGCAAUAAAUUGUUUUAUUGUCUCAAUAGCCAUAUGAAAUAGAGACCAUUAUUAUGCCCUUUUGACAGGGAAAGUGGAGAACACUGAGAGUUGGAGAGGAUAAAUGACUUGCCCAUCACUAUAGAUGUGGCAGAGCUGGGACGUGAACACAGGCCUCUGUCUUCUAAGCUCACUGGCCACCGAAGCAUGUCUGUCAUCCAUGAACAGAGCUGGCUGUGCUCAGUCAAGCAGUUGUUGUCCAGGCCUCCUUUCAGCAUUUCUGGAGACUCCCUGCAGCUGAUAACUCUUUUGAGCAAAGUUCUGCUGCUUCCUCUUUUGGUAUGGCCUUGUUUCAUCCUUUUCUUCUGAAACACAGAUCCCCUAUUAGCUGUCCACUCUGAGCCACAUGAGGGGAAUAUGCAGCUGGGGCAGGGGAGAUGGCCCUGGCCAGUUAGAUCCUCCUGCACUAUGUCCAGGCUGGCCUGAGCCUGGAGCUGGGGCUGUUGGCUGAAUUUGGCUGCAGUCCAUCAGGGAUGUACUUCCAUUUAUCUGCUGGUCCAGUUUGCCCAAUCCCCUAUUGGUACAUGGCUCCUCCUCUGUCAGGGCCUAGCCCCCGCUGUUCCCACCUGCCACUCCCUUCCAUUUCCCACACCCUGCUGUUGACUUCCCAUAGUCCUCCCUCGCAUAGUCUUCAAGGCCUUUCACAAUCCAGCCACAUCAGAUGUCAAUCCUUCCUGCCCCCACACCCUACGUUGCUGAACUUCUCAUCACACGGUAUCAAAGCCCUGGGCCUUUGCACAUGGUUCUUUUUGCUUGGCACGCCUGUACAUUUCUGCCCUUUUUCAAUGGCAGACUCCUUCAAGUCCUCCCAGACCAAGGCCACCAUCUGCCACAACUCUACCGUUCACAUUGUAAUCUAUGGAAUGACCCCAGCACCACUGCUACUACUACUGACACCUACUUUUAGAUAAAGGAGAUCUGAGUGUUAGGGCAGGAGUGGAAAACCAUGGUGUAUUUGGAUGUGAGGUGGGUAGAAUUUGCAGAUUCCCUCAAUUCCUUCACCUCUCAAAUAGGCAUGCAGCCUUCCAGAUUGAAAGGAACUCAGAAUCUGCUCAGAGGUCUAUGCAGGCGCGGGUUGGUCUCUUGGGCAGCAGGACUAAGGCCUGGUCAUAGCUCUACUUUCUGGUCUUAACUUUUCAACAAGAAUGGCCAGAACUUGAGAUGAGUUGGAAAACUACCCUUAGCCUGCCGUGUCCCCAAGAACACUGGGGGCUGGUGGCUUCUCCCUCUGGGUGCCUGUAAAGGGAUCCUUUGAAAUAGGCUAUCUUGGGGAGGCCUAUUUGGCUGCACAUUUGGGGAGGCACAUUUACUCUGCUUGCAAAUAGCAUUUGGCCUUCGCCAACCAUCUAGCUUUCUGAUUCUCUGGUUUCUUUAUGGGAAAAAUGAGAAGGCAGGUCAGGUUUUUGUUAAUGUUCUUUUCUAGAGUCGAUAUCCUAUGAGCUGGUGAUCAAGCCUUAAAAAUUUUUAAUUAAUUUUUUUCCUGAUUAUAAAAUAAUGUAUUCUAAUUGUAGAAAAUCUGGACAACAUAACAUGAAAAAGUGUAAAAAAAAAGCCAAUCAAAAGCUUAGCUCUGAGAAAAAGUUAAUAUGUCAGGGAUAAUUUUUCUUUUUUCCUGUAGUAUGUAUUUGCAUGCUCAAGUAUUUAUUUAUUAAAUAUUUAUUAUACAGCUUUUAAUAAAUUUAAACCUAAAUAUAGCAUUACGAUGUAUA
rnacentral:lncRNA from 10 species